AUUGAACGCUGGCGGCAGGCCUAACACAUGCAAGUCGAGCGAGCGGCGGACGGGUGAGUAAUGUAUGGGGACUGCCCGAUAGCGGGGGAUAACUACUGGAAACGGUAGCUAAUACCGCAUACUAUCGGAUAACCCAUAUGGGAUUAGCUAGUAGGUGUGGUAAUGGCUCACCUAGGCGACGAACCCUAGCUGGUCUGAGAGGAGGAUCAGCCACACUGGGACUAAGACACGGCCCAGACUCCUACGGAGGCAGAAGUGGGGAAUAUUGCACAAUGGGCGCAAGCCUAAGGCAGCCAGUCCGCGUGUAUGAAGAAGGCCCUAGGGUUGUAAAGUACUUUCAGUCGGGAGGCGUUACCGACAGAAGAAGCACCGGCUAACUCCGUGCCAGCAGCCGCGGUAAUUC
rnacentral:rRNA from 1 species